UACAACAACAUACUCAGGAAGGAAUUC
rnacentral:piRNA from 1 species